AAAACAAAAGAACAGAACAAAAAUAUGACAAAGUUCAUCUACAUUUAAGAACUUGAUACCCUCAAAAUCAAAAGUAAAAUAAGUUUAUAAACAAAAUGUGAAAAUUAAUUUCACGGCGGAUUGUGCUUCUGAUUUUGGUGGUGAGACGUUCGUUAAGUGGGGAUUUUUGCAGCACAUAAGAACAUCGUUGAUCGACUUCAGGUGCAGGUGCAGCUGGACGUUAGAUCUUACAAAUCGACGCAGAAGUUACCCGGAUGCAAUAGACUAGGCAUGAGCUAGUGGAGUAUGUUCAACUAGCGUUUCUUUUGUAUUUACUUUCAGACGUUGUAUUGGUGCAAUUUUGGCAACACUAUAUUCAUGACUAUAUGUUUCAUGUGAUUAUCUUGAGUUA